GGAGGAUAGAGGGAGAGAGGAGAGAGAGAACCCAUUUCCAUCAGACCUCUGUUUCCUCCACAGCUCUGAUCUGCUCCGCGGCUCAGCAGCUUCCUGUUGGAGGAGGAGGAUGGAAUCAUCCCUCGGAUCGUGAUUCGUCACCACUCACUUUAUUUCGCCUCGUUCCUUCGCUGGAUGCUCGUCGGCUCCGCGCCUCUUGUUCGUGGUCAACUUGUCCGGUCGCUCCUCUCAGACUUGAGCUGCAUCAUGAGUAGUUCGGGGGCAUCGCUCCGCCGCUCGCCUCUGGGAUGGAGAGGAUUACGCAGCCGAGCCCCGGGGAGCCUGUGAACGCAGAUGGAGUUUGGGAUUUAUUGCGAAAUAAGGGAAAGAUGACCGUGUUCUCGUUGUGCCUGCUCCUGUGCGCGGAUCUGCUGGAUGUAGCCGCCGGAUAUUUGACAGUGACCAUCGAGCCGCUGCCUCCUGUCGUUGUGGGAGAGACGGUUACUCUCAAGUGUAACUUUAAAACUGACGGACGUCUUCGAGAGAUCGUCUGGUACAGGGUCACAGAUGGAGGAACCAUCAAGCAGAAAAUCUUCACCUACGACGCCAUGUUUAAUACGAACUACUCUCACAUGGAGGAUUACCGCAGACGUGAAGACCUGGUGUACCAGUCCACCGUCAGGCUCCCGGAGGUUCGGAUCUCAGACAACGGGCCGUACGAAUGCCACGUGGGCAUCUACGACCGGGCGACGCGGGAGAAGGUCGUCCUGGCUUCAGGGAAUGUUUUCCUUACUGUUAUGUCGCCUCCGAACAACAUAUCCGUGGUGGCAGAGAACACUCCGGCCCCGUUCAGCCGAUACCAAGCCCAGAACUUCACUCUGCUCUGCACUGCAAAGGGAGGGAAGCCGGCCCCGUCGGUCUACUUCAAGCGCGAUGGGGAGCUGAUAGAAGUCAUCUCCUACACUCAGCCGUCCUCCGGCGAGCAGGGCGGCUCGGCGGGCGUGAGAGGAGCCCGGCCGCUCAUCAGCAGGGACCUGGACGACACCAAGCUGCAGCGCUCGCUCUCCCUGCUGGACCCCGAGGGGCGGUCGGCCCGUCUCUACACAGAGGUCCCCCAGCGGGUCCACACCCAGGGCCAGCAGGCCCACGAGCCCAGCCCCGCCACCGAGGUCAUCCCGGAGACGGUGGUGAGCCGGGAGUUCCCCCGCUGGGUGCACAGCACGGACCCUCUCUACUAUUUCAGCCACACCAACAUCCCCCAGAGCGACGGCUCUGUGGUGGUGCAGGCCCGGCUCACCUGGACCCUCAACCCGCAGCUGGAUAACGACGCUCUGUUCAGCUGCGAAGUCAAACACCCGGCGCUGUCCAUGCCCAUGCAGACAGAGGUCACCCUGGCUGCUCCUAAGGGUCCCAAACUGUCCAUGUCCCCCAGUCGGGCGAAGGUGGGGGACACGGUGCGCAUCACGGUGCAAGGAUUCCAGGUAGGAUCGCCUGGGAACGAGGUGUUCCCCGAGCCCCUCUUCACCUGGACGCGGGUGGGGGGCCGCCUGCUGGACGGCAGCACCGAGCGGGAGGGGAAGGAGCUGAUCCUGGAGCGAGUGCCGGCCGAGCUCAACGGCUCCAUGUAUCGCUGCACGGCCCAGAAUCCUCUGGGCUCCACGGAUACGCACACUCGCCUCAUCGUCUUUGGUGUGGACGUGCUCCGGGCCCGGUGCGGCCCAUCUGUCCGCCUCUCUGCUCGGAGAUCGCUUCCACUCGCGCUCCGGGGAAGUGAACGUGAUUAAGUGACCUUGGUUUCUGUCCCGCGUGGCCUUGAGAUGAGACACUUCUCUCUCUGCCCGGGGGCCAAGGGACAGAAGCAUUUCACCGCUCUGCUCAACUUGGCACAGAGUUCGAUAUUCAUCAUCAGGAGUAAUAGAGUGUGAUGUCAGCGUGGCACAGAGACACACCGACGAUGAGCGGCUCGUCCUGGCGAUGAACAUCUCGGUGAUGAUACCUGCUGCUUCCUGUCUGAAAACCCCAGCAUGAUGAAGAACACACAGAAUCAGAACAGCGGAGCCUGUCGGAGCGACCUGCUCGGACUCACGUGGAUGACGCUCGUCCUCACAGUGACAGUGGAGCUGAC